rnacentral:rRNA from 1 species
UACGGGGGGAGCAAGCGUUGUUCGGAUUUACUGGGCGUAAAGGGCGCGUAGGUGGCCCGUUAAGUGGCUGGUGAGAUCCCGCGGCUCAACUGCGGGGCUGCCGGUCAUACUGGCGAGCUAGAGCACGGUAGGGGCAGAUGGAAUUCCCGGUGUAGCGGUGGAAUGCGUAGAGAUCGGGAAGAAUACCAGUGGCGAAGGCGUUCUGCUGGGCCGUUGCUGACACUGAGGCGCGACAGCGUGGGGAGCAAACAGG